UUUCCAUUGGAGAGUUUGAUCCUGGCUCAGGACGAACGCUGGCGGCGUGCUUAACACAUGCAAGUCGAACGGAAAGGCCCUGCUUUUGUGGGGUGCUCGAGUGGCGAACGGGUGAGUAACACGUGAGUAACCUGCCCUUGACUUUGGGAUAACUUCAGGAAACUGGGGCUAAUACCGGAUAGGAGCUCCUGCUGCAUGGUGGGGGUUGGAAAGUUUCGGCGGUUGGGGAUGGACUCGCGGCUUAUCAGCUUGUUGGUGGGGUAGUGGCUUACCAAGGCUUUGACGGGUAGCCGGCCUGAGAGGGUGACCGGCCACAUUGGGACUGAGAUACGGCCCAGACUCCUACGGGAGGCAGCAGUGGGGAAUAUUGCACAAUGGGCGGAAGCCUGAUGCAGCAACGCCGCGUGCGGGAUGACGGCCUUCGGGUUGUAAACCGCUUUCGCCUGUGACGAAGCGUGAGUGACGGUAAUGGGUAAAGAAGCACCGGCUAACUACGUGCCAGCAGCCGCGGUGAUACGUAGGGUGCGAGCGUUGUCCGGAUUUAUUGGGCGUAAAGGGCUCGUAGGUGGUUGAUCGCGUCGGAAGUGUAAUCUUGGGGCUUAACCCUGAGCGUGCUUUCGAUACGGGUUGACUUGAGGAAGGUAGGGGAGAAUGGAAUUCCUGGUGGAGCGGUGGAAUGCGCAGAUAUCAGGAGGAACACCAGUGGCGAAGGCGGUUCUCUGGGCCUUUCCUGACGCUGAGGAGCGAAAGCGUGGGGAGCGAACAGGCUUAGAUACCCUGGUAGUCCACGCUGUAAACGGUGGGUACUAGGUGUGGGGUCCAUUCCACGGGUUCCGUGCCGUAGCUAACGCUUUAAGUACCCCGCCUGGGGAGUACGGCCGCAAGGCUAAAACUCAAAGGAAUUGACGGGGCCCCGCACAAGCGGCGGAGCAUGCGGAUUAAUUCGAUGCAACGCGUAGAACCUUACCUGGGUUUGACAUGGAUCGGGAGUGCUCAGAGAUGGGUGUGCCUCUUUUGGGGUCGGUUCACAGGUGGUGCAUGGCUGUCGUCAGCUCGUGUCGUGAGAUGUUGGGUUAAGUCCCGCAACGAGCGCAACCCUUGUUCACUGUUGCCAGCACGUUAUGGUGGGGACUCAGUGGAGACCGCCGGGGUCAACUCGGAGGAAGGUGGGGAUGACGUCAAGUCAUCAUGCCCCUUAUGUCCAGGGCUUCACGCAUGCUACAAUGGCUGGUACAGAGAGUGGCGAGCCUGUGAGGGUGAGCGAAUCUCGGAAAGCCGGUCUCAGUUCGGAUUGGGGUCUGCAACUCGACCUCAUGAAGUCGGAGUCGCUAGUAAUCGCAGAUCAGCAACGCUGCGGUGAAUACGUUCCCGGGGCUUGUACACACCGCCCGUCAAGUCAUGAAAGUUGGUAACACCCGAAGCCGGUGGCCUAACCGUUGUGGGGGAGCCGUCGAAGGUGGGACUGGUGAUUAGGACUAAGUCGUAACAAGGUAGCCGUACCGGAAGG
rnacentral:rRNA from 1 species